rnacentral:rRNA from 1 species
UACGAGGGGGGCGAGCGUUGUUCGGAAUUAUUGGGCGUAAAGGGUGCGUAGGCGGUUCCGCAAGUCCUGUGUGAAAUCUUCGGGCUCAACUCGAAGUCUGCACGGGAAACUGCGGGGCUUGAGUGUGGGAGAGGUGAGUGGAAUUCCCGGUGUAGCGGUGAAAUGCGCAGAUAUCAGGAGGAACACCAAUGGCGAAGGCAGCUCGCUGGGACGGUACUGACGCUGAGACGCGAAAGCGUGGGGAGCAAACAGG